rnacentral:lncRNA from 1 species
UUGCAUGCAUUUUUGCAUGUAAUUAGGCUAUAAAUAGAGAUGUUUUCAAAUGUUGAAGGACUUUUGCCUCUUUUAUCAUUUUCAUAAUCUCAACAAAAGAAAAAAGAAAGCUUCCAAUCUCAUUUUAUCUCCAUUACUUUCUACAUCAAAAUUGGGUCCCAUAACCCGGUUCUUUGUCUAGAGGAUAGCAGUUGAGUACUAGUGGUGGUCUCGGGUAGAAUUGGUAAGAAGACAUCAAACCUUUUGAAAGCUUCAAAGGUAAUACUUCUUAAAACCCUAAUUUGAUUAGUUUAUGGUUACAUGUUAAUUGUGGCAAUUAGGGUAGAAAUUCGAUUCUUUUUCCGCUGUGCAUGACUUAGUUCUAUCAUGUGGUAUCAGAGCAUGCUUCAUUUUUACCCAAUUGCAUGUGGUGGGUUCAAAUUUAUUAGAUAAAUUUUGGUUUGAACUAAAAUGGAUAUAUUAUGAUUUUGGCUCUAGAUUAAGUGUUUUUGUUCUAAUUAUUGUAAUUAGCCUUGUUAAUGGCUUAUUUUUAUUGUUGCAAAAGUGUUUGUAAUUUUUAAAAAAAAUAAAAAAAGUCAUUAGAGUUGAAGCUAGGCUGUAAUUAGUUCAACCGGGUGAGAGAAUUGAAAAAAAUGAAGAAAAGAAGGUCACAGACCCGAAAACCCGGUUUUGACCCGCUUCGCGACCCGCACGCCCGCAUGCCCGCGCGCCUCCGCGCCCGCGCGCCCUCCUGCGCCCCGCGCCCCUCCUGCGCCGCGCGCCUCCUGCGCCGGCGCGCCCUCUGCGCGCCCGCGCGCCUGCAUGCGCCCGCGCGCCCCAUGUGUCCGCGCGCCGCAUGCGCCGCCGCGACCGCCGCGCCCCGGCGCCUGCCUUCGCAUGACCCGUGUGCGCCUGGGCCGGUUCAAGCCAAUAAAUUUGGUUUUUGGGCCGGUUCAAGCGGUUCGGUUGGUUUUUUAGCCGGUUCGAAAUUUUUGGGAGUGGUUCUGUACUACACCAAAUUAAUUAUGUAAUAAUUUAGCACUUAGCUUAAUUUAGGAGCCAAAAAUCAGUCCAUUUUAGGGUGUUUUUUUAUUUAUGCAUGUGAUGUAUGAUUAAAUUACUUUAAAUUUGUAUGUGCAUUUUGAAUGUCAUAUAGAUUUAAAAUCCCACCAUAGGUUAACAUGUUCAUGCAUUAAAAUGUAUGAUAUAAAGGUUAUAUUGUAUUGUAUGCAUGUUAAUUGAUUAAUAUGGAAAUUAAUUAAUAUGAUUAAUUAAUUAUUUAAUUAAUUAAGUUAUUCUUGAUUAAAUAUGAUUUAAUCAAAUUAAUUAAUUAUUGUUUGAUUUAAUUUAAUUAAAUAUGAUUUAAUUAAAGUUAAAUAAAUUAAAAUCCAUAUUAAUUGAUUGUUUUUAUUAUAUAUUGAUAAAAUGAUUGAUUAAGUUUAAAAUUUUUAUAAGUGUUAUAAAAUAAAUUAGACUUUUAAAAUCAAUAACAAAGAUUAAAUGCAUGCUCACUUAGGUUAAACAUAUCUUCCAUUUUUCAUAGAAAUAGGUCGAUAUCUUGUAAAACUGGUUACAAAAGGCUCACCUGGUUCAAUCUUGUCAACAAGUCAGAUAAGAUGACUAAGGUUGGAGGUUCUUAAGUUGACGGUUUACGGAACACCUCCUACCUGGAGAUCGUAAUCAGUUCUUGAGCCUAGUUAACCUAGUUUAUGAGCAUUCGUGAGAGGUGUGAGGUAAUAAAAAUGUUUUUCACCUAGACAUCAUAGGUUAAAAUCCUGUAUAAUGGUUAUACUUGGAUGUUUUAUCUAGACUUAAAGAUUUGUUUAAGUUAGCCUAAAUAUAAAUCUUGAAGUUUGGAUUACCCUAAUUUUUUCUCUAGAACACUUCAACUAGAGAAAAAUAAUGUAUUUUAGCUCUAGUGUCCCUAAGAGUUCACACCGUGAGGUCCAUGCAGGGCUUUGUGUGCCGUAGGAGGACGGCCUCCCUUCGGAGAGUGUUUGCAUGGAUCAAAAUCAAGGUGAAUAGGGAAGUAGUUCAUAGUAAGUGGGUGAGGGAUUUGUGACAGCACAUCCCCGGUCUCUUCCAUUAGGUCGCACCGUGAGAUUUCUAUAAUAUGCCUGCUUGUCUGCCCUGGAGCGACGUUCCCUUCGGAGGGUUGUAUUAUAGGAUUCGGAACACCGCGAACUCCAAAUUGGAUAGGAUUUCUUAGAUUAGUUUCAGAAAUGAUUCUAAUCUAUAAAAUCUGAAAAAUGGUGGGUAACACUUACAAGAAUUACUAAGUUGUUAGUAUAUUCUUGACUAAUAGCGAUAACUAAGUGCUAUAAAGAAUAAAGAGUUAUUCUUGAGAUAGCAUCUAGUCAAGAUUGUCUUGGUUCAAAGGAGGAAUAAUCAACUACCUUCGGAGAAGGUUGUUCUAAACCUUUGAAAUAUUGUUGCAAAAUACAAAUAAUGAAAGGGUACAUUAUUAGUAAUAAAUUAGAUUGUAUUUUUUAUGAUUAUAGUUUUCUUAAAAAGAAUAUGUUUUUUUCAGCAUGAAUAGCUCAAUAGUUCAACUUUUAGCUUCCGAAAAACUUAAUGGCGAUAAUUAUGCGGCUUGGAAAUCAAAUCUUAACACAAUACUAGUGGUUGACGAUUUAAGAUUUGUCUUAACUGAGGAAUGUCCUCAAACCCCUGCCUCUAAUGCUAACCGAACUAGUCGGAUGCAUAUGAUCGAUGAUAAAAAGCUAAUUGAAAAAGCCCGUGUUUACAUUCUUGCCAGCAUGUCUGAUGUAUUGGCAAAGAAACAUGAAUCCUUAGCCACGGCUAAAGAGAUUAUGGAUUCAUUAAGGGAAUGUGGGCAACCAGAAUGGUCCUUAAGACACGAGGCAGUCAAAUACAUUUACACUACUAGCGUAUGAAGGAAGGGACCUCUGUUAGAGAACAUGUUCUGGACAUGAUGAUGCACUUCAACAUCGCUGUAAGUGAAUGGUGGUCCCAUCGAAGAGGUUAAUCAAGUUAGUUUUAUCUUAGAAUCUCUUCGAAGAGCUUCAUUCCAUUCCAAACGAAUGCGUCUUUGAACAAGAUAGAAUUUAACUUGACACCCUUCUGAAUGAACUCCAGCGAUUCCAAAACCUAACUAUGGGUAAGGAAAAACAAGUGGAAGCAAAUGUUGCUACCACAAAAAGAAAUUUAUAAGAGGAUCGUCCUCUAAAACCAAAGCUGGACCCUCAAAAACCUAAUGCUCAAAUAAAAAGAAGGGAAAGGAAAGUCCCAAACAGAACAAGGGUAAGAAAGGUGCAGAAAAAGCGUAAGUGUUACCAUUGGGCCAAAACGGGCACUGGUUAAGAAACUGCCCAAAAAUACCUUNNNNNNNNNNCUAAAACUCGUAGUUUGUAAAUCAUAUUCUAUUCAAUAAAGUUGUUAUUGAGAAAUUAAAUAUUAUAAUCUUAAAUCCAAUAAAUCAAAGUUCCAAGGCUAUUUUUUUGAAUAAACUUGAACUUUAUGUGUAAACAUAAACGUGGAUCAAGUUCGAGUAUAUAGCCUAAAUAGUCUAUAGUAUAUGAAAUAAAGGUUGGGCGCCUUAUUUUGAGAGACUAUGGAUGCGGCCACACUUUGUAGUACAAACGAUGUGAUCCUAAUCGUUCAUGUAGAGACAUGAAAGUGGGGGCAUCCUAUGUAAAAUGUUUACAUAAAGACUGAACCAUGAAUUAGUCAUUUUUACGUUAUAACACCGUUUACUGUUUAAAACUGACUAUCUCAAUUAUUGAUGACCUAGGUAACUUAGUCUUAAUCCUGAGUUAACUAUGAACUCCUGUUCAUACGAGAUUAUCCUUAGAUCUGCAUAGGUGAGGGCAGCUCAUCAGCGUUGGCCCAAUAAGCCUCCCAUUUCAGGGGUAAGAUCGGGUGGAUAGCUGGGAACAUAGGGUACAAGAUGGAAUUCACUCCUACCCGCUUUAGGGUUAGUAGAUAGGUUGCUCUCUUAAGCACUGAAUCCAAGUCUUGAACAAGGGGCCCCACCCUCUCAUUGGCCCGAGAGGGAUUAAGUUUAUAGGUUGAACCUUAAACCAAUUGUUCAAUAGUGGAUUAGUGGGACUUAAGGAGCAAGAUGUAAUCUUGGGGGUAAAACGGUAUUUUGACCCCAGCCAAGGUUACGAGCAACCUGUGAAGGAUUAACUUACUGAUUAUGGUUUUAUCAAAUGGACACAAAUAUAUCUAUAGUGAGGGGAGUGCAACUACGGGACUUUAGUGGAAUGACCCGUUAGUUAACGAAUGUUGAUUAACUCGGUUUAAAAGAGUUUAGCUAGUUAAUCUUGAAUCGUUGGAGCCCAUGAUCUAUAGGUCCAUUAGGUUCCUCUGCUAGCUCAUAUGGAUUAAACUUAGAACAGUGUGAUGAAAUAAGUCGAAUUGUUCGAUAUAGGGAGAAGAAAGGAAAACCGACAUAUACAGUGAUAUAAUCGUCGGUCUUCUAAUUAGAAAUAGAGCUUUAUGUUUUACAUAUACUAUAAGUAUGAAUGCGGAUUCAUACUAAGAAGCUCGGAAUUGGUCAAAAAUAGUAAAAAGUCAAAAUGUUGACUUUUGACUUUGAAAAGUCAAACUUUGACCGGCCUUAUAUUCAAAUGUGAUUUGAAUUUUGGAAAAAUGAAUGCGGAUUCAUGCUCGGGAGGUUGGAAUUAGUCAAGACGGACAAAAUGGUAAAAAGUCAAAAUAUUGACUUUUGACUUAGAAAAGUCAAAGUUUGACUUUUGACUAGAAAAAUCUAAUGACCAUUUUACCCUUGGACUAAGUUAGUGGGAAAAUCCAACAUUUUGUUGGAUAAUCCCACUAACUCUUAGUGGGAUAUGUGGCUAUAUGAGAUAUAGACACCUAGCCCACUAAGUUCCACUAAUUGUUAGUGGAAUAUUAGGUGUUGAGAUUUGGCAAUUGAAUUGCAUGCAUUUUUGCAUGUAAUUAGGCUAUAAAUAGAGAUGUUUUCAAAUGUUGAAGGACUUUUGCCUCUUUUAUCAUUUUCAUAAUCUCAACAAAAGAAAAAAGAAAGCUUCCAAUCUCAUUUUAUCUCCAUUACUUUCUACACCAAAAUUGGGUCCCACAACCCGGUUCUUUGUCUAGAGGAUAGCAGUUGAGUACUAGUGGUGGUCUCGGGUAGAAUUGGUAAGAAGACAUCAAACCUUUUGAAAGCUUCAAAGGUAAUACUUCUUAAAACCCUAAUUUGAUUAGUUUAUGGUUACAUGUUAAUUGUGGCAAUUAGGGUAGAAAUUCGAUUCUUUUUCCGCUGUGCAUGACUUAGUUCUAUCAUGUGGUAUCAGAGCAUGCUUCAUUUUUACCCAAUUGCAUGUGGUGGGUUCAAAUUUAUUAGAUAAAUUUUGGUUUGAACUAAAAUGGAUAUAUUAUGAUUUUGGCUCUAGAUUAAGUGUUUUUGUUCUAAUUAUUGUAAUUAGCCUUGUUAAUGGCUUAUUUUUAUUGUUGCAAAGUGUUUGUAAUUUUUAAAAAAAUAAAAAAAGUCAUUAGAGUUGAAGCUAGGCUGUAAUUAGUUCAACCGGGUGAGAGAAUUGAAAAAAAAAAAAAAAGAAGGUCACAGACCCGAAAACCCGG